AAUUCGAACGCUGGCGGCAGGCCUAACACAUGCAAGUCGAACGAAGCCUUCGGGCUUAGUGGCGGGGACGGGUGAGUAACGCGUGGGAACGUGCCCUUUGGUUCGGAAUAGCCCCGGGAAACUGGGCUAGUAAUACCGGAUAAGCCCUACGGGGGAAAGAUUUAUCGCCAAAGGAUCGGCCCGCGUUGCGGAUUAGGUAGUUGGUGGGGUAAUGGCCUACCAAGCCGACGAUCCAUAGCUGGUUUGAGAGUAGAUGAUCAGCCACACUGGGACUGAGACACGGCCCAGACUCCUACGGGAGGCAGCAGUGGGCUGAAUCUUAGACAAUGGGGGAAACCCUGAUCUAGCCAUGCCGCGUGAUCGAUGAAGGCCUUCUAGGGUUGUAAAGAUCUUUCAGCUGGGAAGAUAAUGACUGUACCAGCAGAAGAAGCCCCGGUACUAACUCCGUGCCGGCAGCCGCGGUAAUACGGAGGGGGCUAGCGUUGUUCGGAAUUACUGGGGGCGUAAAGCGCACGUAGGCGGAACAGAAAGUCAGAGGUGAAAUCCCAGGGCUCAACCUUUCGGAACUGCCUUUGAAACUCCUGUUCUUGAGGUCGAGAGAGGUGAGUGGAAUUCCGAGUGUCAAGAGGUGAAAUUCGU
rnacentral:rRNA from 1 species